AACGUAGGUGGCGAGCGUUAUCCGGAUUUACUGGGCGUAAAGCGUGUGCAGGCGGCCUGUCAAGUGGUGUAUGAAAUAUCCAGGCUCAACCUGGAGGGGUUAUGCCAGACUGGCAGGCUAGAGUGCGAGAGAGGGGCGUGGAAUUCCGGGUGUAGUGGUGAAAUGCGUAGAGAUCCGGAGGAACACCAGCGGCGAAGGCGGCAUCCUGGACUGGUCCUGACACUCAUGAGCGAAAGCGUGGGGAGCGAUCCGG
rnacentral:rRNA from 1 species